rnacentral:lncRNA from 1 species
UUUUUCCUCCCUUUUUAAUCAGCAUAGUGUUUUGUUUUCAAUGAUAAGUUUUUUGUCUUUAUUUAAUUCUAAAUUAACAUAUUAGGGUUAUGUUAAUUAUAUCAGAUAUUAUUUGUUCUGGCUAUGGAGUGUUGAAAGACAAAAUCUUAGAGAAAAUGAAGGAAAAUGAGAGAACCAAAAAGAAAGUGAAAAAGAAAAUAAAAAAGAUGGUUUGAUUUAAAGCUACCUAUUGAUCCACCUGCUUUGAUUAAUAUUUGCAAGUAUUAUCAUUUGGUUUGAUUUGAUCUGGAAAAGUGAAUUUUAUAGCAAAUGAAGCCUGACCCAAAUAGAGCAAAAACAGAAUUGAAUUGGUUUGAAUCAAAUUCUGCUCACACCUAGGUUUAUUGGAAAUUCUCAUCUAAGCUAGGUAGUAGAUCAGACCAUUGAUAUCGCAAAAUUUUUAAUUUUAAUCAAAGCUUAUAGUGAAGUACAAUACCUUUGAUGCUAUGAUGCCAUGUAGAAUAAAACUGAAAUACCUUUGAUGCUAUGAUGCCAUGUAGAAUCCAUGAGAGAUUUUCAGCGCAAAAACUUCUCUUUGAUUCUGUGAUUUUUUUUUUUCACAUUAAUUUAUCUUCACUUUGGAUGUGCCAUACAUGACAAAGCAUGCUAGUGCCUGUUGAAUGUUGGCUUUCAUCUCUUUAGGUAC